AUCCGCAUUAACAGUUCAUAAGAACUUCAUCUCUUAGACGGAUACCAUACUCCCAACUAGGCCAUCAAAUGAUAGCCCUACAAAGUAAAAAAGAAGAGAACAGGGAAAAGAAGAGAACAUAGGAAAAGCCAUAAUUUAAUUCGCCGAGUUGUAAAAUCAUAUAGCUGCAAAGAUUUUUGUCAGCCCGUGUUCCUCAUACCAGCAGCAAUACCAUUUAUGGUAAUAAGCAGUGCAUCUCUGAGUUUAUGAUUGUCAUCAUCGCUUCUCAACCUCUUUAGAAUCUCAACCUGCAACAUGUUCAUUGGAUUGAGGUAAGGGAGCCUGCUCUCAAUGAGCCUCCUCAAGCUCCGGUUGUUUUCUGAUAGCCUCUCAUGCCCACUAACCACCAAUACAAACUUCUCCGUCGUUAAGAGUUCUCUUCUUAGUGCAGCACCGAGUUCUCUCCUGCUCUCAUUAGAUACAAGGACUUCAUCGUAGUGCUUCGCUAUAGGAACGUCUGCCUUCCCCAAAACCAUCUCUAUAAGAUCUAUGGUAGAUUGGAAGAAAGGCCAUUCUUUGUACAUUGCUUUCAAAUCUUGGGUGUGUCCCUCCUCACAAACACCCUUCAAACCUGCCCCAACUCCAAGCCAUGCUGGAAGAACAAAUCUUGUUUGGGUCCAGGCAAAUACCCAUGGAAUGGCACGAAGAUGUCCAAUUCCUGUUGAGCUCUUUCUUCUUGUGGGUCGGCUUCCUAUGUUGAGGAAACCAAGCUCCGCUUGUGGAGUAGCCUCAUGGAAGUACGCAAGAAACUCUGGGUUUUCAUAUACCGUGCUCCGGUAACUUUGGCAGCUGAUUUUUGAAAUAAGGCAGAACUUCUUUGGAUAAUCUCUUCGGCAUAUAAUUGAUUUUCUUCCUCUCGUGUUAUUCCAGAGAAAAGUCUUCAUCACCAUAUUUAGACCGGAACUACUGGACACAAAUACAGAAUGGUUGAUGUAAUUGGUUAACACAUGGUAUUGCUCAUGUGCGGGGUUGCGAUGAUUAUCUUUUUGAAUUAGGAUAAUCUGGAAUGAUAAGGGUAGAAAAAACAAGAAAUUAUUAUUUUUUAUUAACAAAAAAUAAUAAUAAUAAUUUAAUCACUUAAAAUCUUAACUGGUCUCAGAAUUAGAAAAAAAAAACUAAUUACAUAAAAGAAAAGGUAUUAGCUCUUUUAAUAUGUAUUAUCUAAGGUAAGCUAUAUUUUAUAUUUAUCUGGUAUAAACAAAAAAAAAAGUUGUGUUUUCUUUUUUAUUUCCUUUUUUUUUUCAACCCCUAUUCUCGAUCUCAAAGGAGUAUUUAUAGGAUUUUGGAAUGUCUUGAAUCCAUUUCAGACCUUUUAUUCUUGAAAAGAGUGUUGUGAACCCUUGAUAAUAACUCAUUGAAGAGCCUUUGUGUAUGAACACUCGAAAACCUUGAUAAAAAUCCAUUUUUAGUCUAAAAAAUCACUAGAAAAACAUUAGCAACAUCUAGAUGUUUGUUUUAUAUUUUUUUAAAAAAAAAAAACGGAUCCAAUACACAGCAUAACAUGGACCAAUGAUCUAGUAUAUAAAGUGUUUGGCUUUUCACUACAGUAAUAAAUAGGAAAAGCCAAGCACUUUUUCACUUUGAUCCUUGAAACUUUUUAGAAUUUUUUUUAUUUUUUUUAAUUUAAUCCUUCAAUAUUAGGUUUGCUGGGUAUAAAACUUCAUAAUUUAUUUCAAUUUAUUUUUUAUGUUAUCCUGGUGUUAUGACUCAGGUCGUGAGUUUUAUAUAGCCGUGUUGACUCAUGUCAUGUUUUUUGUUUAUUUUUUUAUUAAUUGUUUUAAAUUUCAUCCUUCAACAUUGAGUUUAUUAGGAAUCUGAAUUCAUAAUAUUUUUCUAUUAGCUUUCUAUAGAGUUAUUCUGGUCUUUUGAUCCGGGUUUUUCAAGUUAAUCCAAUUUGACUUAGAUCAUUUUUUUUGUUCUUUUUUUAUUUGAUUUUUUUUUCUAAUUUAGUCCUUUAAAAUUGGGUUAAUUGAGAAUUGAGAUAUAUAUAUAUAUAUAUAUAUAUAUAUGGUGUUAUCACGGUCUUAUAACUCGGGUCUUGGAUUAAGCCGGUUAACUCAAGUUUUUUUUGUCUUUUUAGUUUAUUUUUUUAAUUUUAUUCUUUAAUAUUAAGUUGGUUAAGAAUUAGGUUUCAUAAUUAUUUCGGUUUGCAUUCUAUGAAAUUAUUUUAGUCUCUUGACUCGAGUCACGAGUUUGGUUUGUUAACUCAAGUGAUUUUUUGUACUUUUUUUUAAAAUUUCAUCCUUUAACAUUGAGUGAUUUGAGUUUCAUAAUUUGUUUUGACUUGUUUUUCAAGAGGAUAUCUCGGUCUUGUAACCCAUAUUUGGUAGAUUAAUCCAAGUUGACUUACCUUGUUUUUUUAGUUGAUUUUUGUUUUUAAUUUUAUCAUUCAAUAAUAGAUUGAUUGAGAAUUUGAUCUAAUAUUUUAUUUUAUAUUUUGCUUUCUAUAUGAUUAUUAGAGUAUCUUGACUUGGUUAAUGGAUUUAAUAAGUUAAUUGAAGUUGAUAUAAUAAUUGUUUUUAAAUCAAAUUAUAUUUUUAUAUGUCAUUCAAGUUAUCUUUAAAGUUGACUAGGUUAUAUAAGUUCAAUUUUUAUAUAGUUUAAUUAAAAAAAUACAUUAAUAAUACUUGAAUAUUUUUUUUACAUUAAAAAAAUUAAUCUGACUCAUGAUGUAACAAUAAUUUAGUUUAAUGCUAAAAUUAAAUAAGAAAGUAAUUGGUGAACACAUGUAAAAUUCAAUUUAAAACGAACCUCGAUGUUUGCACUUUGCAGCAUCCCGGUUGCUGAAAUAAAUAAAUAUCAAGCGUACGGGAAAAAAGCAAAUUUAUGUUUUUUUUAUUAUUAUUUUUCCUUUUUCUCUUUAUUCAGAAGCCGUUGUCUCGAAGGUGAACUUCCUUCUUCUAUUCCUUGUAAUUUCUAGUUCUAUCCUAAAAACGUCUCCUUGCUAAAAAGAGAGUUGCUCCCGUGACAAUCUUACACAAAACACUAUAGCACGCAAUAUUUUUCUUUUUUAUUAUUUCUAUAUAAUAAAAUUUAUGAUUUUUUUUUCCUUUUAAUUUCUUAGCAGCGGUUGUCUUUCACUUUCUUGAAACCAAGGGUUGCACAGCAAAACAAAGCCAGCCCAGAUAUGGCCCAGAACCUUUCUUUUAAGCCCAAUGGCAGAUCUCUCCCUCCUCCUUCUAAUAGCUCUUCUCCUCACAGAUCUCUCCCUCCUCCUUCAAGGAGUAACAUCUGACCCAUCUACGCUAGUCUAGCAGAGUUUAUUGAUGAACAAGAAGACAAUUGCAAGCGAGCAUACAAAGUUUGAGUCAUUUCCAUAAUUUACAAGUCGGUCGAAAGAGAAUUAAGUGAUUUGCAUUUCAAGAAACGAAAUCCACUUAAUUGUAUUAUUAUCCGCAUUAACAUUUCAUAAGAACUUCAUCUCUUAGACGGAUACCAUACUCCCAACUAGGCCAUCAAACGAUAGCCCUAAAAGGUCAAAAAGAAGAUAACAGGGAAAAGAAGAGAACAUAGGAAAAGCCAUAAUUUAAUUCGCCGAGUUGUAAAAUCAUAGAGCUGCAAAGAUUUUUGUCAGCCCGUGUUCCUCAUACCAGCAGCAAUACCAUUUAUGGUAAUAAGCAGUGCAUCUCUGAGUUUAUGAUUGUCAUCAUCGCUUCUCAACCUCUUUAGAAUCUCAACCUGCAACAUGUUCAUUGGAUUGAG
rnacentral:lncRNA from 1 species